UACGAAGGGGGCUAGCGUUGUUCGGAAUUACUGGGCGUAAAGGGCGCGUAGGCGGCUUCGCUAGUCGGGCGUGAAAUGCCCUGGGCUUAACCCGGGAAUUGCGUUCGAUACUUCGAGGCUAGAGUGUGGGAGAGGUUGGUGGAAUUCCCAGUGUAGAGGUGAAAUUCGUAGAUAUUGGGAAGAACACCGGUGGCGAAGGCGGCCAACUGGACCACAACUGACGCUGAGGCGCGAAAGCGUGGGGAGCAAACAGG
rnacentral:rRNA from 1 species